ensembl:lncRNA
CUCAGUCCUCAGCUCCUCCAGUCUCACACACCUGGACCUCAGUGGAAACGACCUCCAGGACUCAGGAGUGGAGCUGCUGUGUUCUGGACUGAAGAGCGCCCCCUGCAGACUGGAGACGCUCAGUCUGUCCCUCUGUGGACUGUCCCCUCACAGCUGUGGGCCUCUGGCCUCAGUCCUCAGCUCCUCCAGUCUCACACACCUGGACCUCAGUCACAACGACCUCCAGGACUCAGGAGUGGAGCUGCUGUGUUCUGGACUGAAGAGCGCCCCCUGCAGACUGGAGACGCUCAGGCUGUCUGGAUGUCUGGUCUCACAGAGGGGCGGGGCUGCUCUGGCCUCAGCUCUGAGCUCCGCCCCCUCCCACCUGAGAGAGUUAGACCUGAGCUACAACCAUCCAGGACCCUCAGCCGAGCUCCUGACCGCUCUACAGGACCAGCGCCCCCUGCUGUGUGUCAGGUGAGAGCGCCCCCUCCUGUCUGGCACACACACAGCAGCACACUGGAGGUGAGGCCUUUAGGCACAAAGGCAGAGGAACCACCAACCCUCAGGCGACUCCCAGCUCCACCUGCAUUGGUCCAGAUGUUGGACCUGGUUCAUGGAUCAUAUCUGUGUAAUUACUGGACCUCACAAGAAUCAAACACUGGCA